rnacentral:rRNA from 1 species
GACGAACGCUGGCGGCGUGCUUAACACAUGCAAGUCGAACGGAAAGGCCCUGCUUUUGUGGGGUGCCCGAGUGGCGAACGGGUGAGUAACACGUGAGUAACCUGCCCUUGACUUUGGGAUAACUUCAGGAAACUGGGGCUAAUACCGGAUAGGAGCUCCUGCUGCAUGGUGGGGGUUGGAAAGUUUCGGCGGUUGGGGAUGGACUCGCGGCUUAUCAGCUUGUUGGUGGGGUAGUGGCUUACCAAGGCUUUGACGGGUAGCCGGCCUGAGAGGGUGACCGGCCACAUUGGGACUGAGAUACGGCCCAGACUCCUACGGGAGGCAGCAGUGGGGAAUAUUGCACAAUGGGCGGAAGCCUGAUGCAGCAACGCCGCGUGCGGGAUGACGGCCUUCGGGUUGUAAACCGCUUUCGCCUGUGACGAAGCGUGAGUGACGGUAAUGGGUAAAGAAGCACCGGCUAGCUACGUG